CGCGCGGGGCUCGUCCCUGCGCGCAGCUGCCUGGCGAGCGUCGGACUCAGGGAAACGGGUGGGAAGAAAGUAAACUGUGUUAGACUCUCAUUUCUGUAAUGGGAAAAAGAUGCUAAGGAUGCUAUUUUAUGUUAUUUUGUUUACAAAUUUAAACAUUCGCUAUUGAAUUGAGCACCCAUGCUGAUCAAUUCCCCCUUAAAAAAGACAAAAGACGACUAUGUCCAUGUUUGAGGGAACAACAACACAGAAGAAGACAAGAAAUAUGAGAAAGAAGUGUGUGAGAACAGGGAGACCCAUGGCUGCUUAUUGGGAAAAGCGUGCUCUUCACUUGCCUACUUACUGGUGCACCAGGCAGUCUUACAUACAUGGCUCUAGGCCUUCAGUCGUCAAGAAAGAAAAUGAGAGCCUCCUUGGGACUUCAGAGUGAGACUCUCCAUGGGGAUGCUCUGUCCUGGUUUGUCUAACCUGAAGAGGAGAAUAGAUUUCUCAAGGAAACAAUGAGCUUGAGGAAGUAAAACUAAUUUAAUGUCUGUCACGCAAACUUCCAUCUAUGUCUCAAUACAAAUAUACUUGGGUAAUUUUAGUAUAAGAAGAAAGAAUCCUAUGGAUUCAGCUAACAGAGUAAUAAAAAAAGUACUUUAGAAAGGAGAGUAUGGAGGCUCCUGAUGAAACUAGGAGAGCUACCAUAUGGCCCUGCGAUCCCUCCUGGAGAAAGCAUGAUCCAAAGAGAUGCAUGCGCCCCAGUGUUGACGGCAGCACUGCUUAUAAGAGCCAGGACAUGGGAGGAACCUAGAUGUCCACCGCAGAGGCACGGAUAAAGAAGAUGCGGUGCAUGCAUACAAUGGGACGUUACUCAGUCAUUAAGGAAAAUGAAGCAACGCCAUUUGCAGCAUCAUGGACGGACCUAGAGAUUGUCAUCCUGAGUAAAGCAAGUCGGAUGGAGAGGAGAGACAUUGUGUGGCAUCCCUUGUCUGUGGACCCUAAACAGAAAUGAUACGAGCGACCUCACAGAACAGAGACUCACAGACUUCCAGAAUGAACUUUUGCUUUUGAGGGGGAGGAGUGGGGGAAGAUAGUUAGGGAGUCUGCGAGGACAUGUAUGUACACACUGCUGUGUUUAAACUAGGUAGCCAACAAGGACCUUCUGUGCUGCACACGGAACUCUGCUCAGGAUUAUUGGCAGUCUAAAUGAGAGGAGUUUGGGGGAGAAUGGGUACAUGCGUAUGUGUGACUGGGUCCCUUUCCGCUCACCUGAAACUAUCGCAACAUUGUUUGUUAAUCAGCUGUACCCCAACACAAAUUUGUUUUUUAAGUACCUCAGAAAAAAGUAAGCAAAAGUUCUUAAACUAUCAAAUCUUUAGAAGGUUAAAUCUUCAUCCUGCAGUAAGGAUUGUGCUGGUCACACUGAGAACAGAGCAUCUUGGUGACAUGGUGAUGCAUUUCCCAGCCUCAGUUUCACUGUGUAUUGUGUGAUUAUUCCAAAAGACAUGCUAGGU